rnacentral:rRNA from 1 species
UACGGGGGGGGUAAGCGUUGUUCGGAAUUACUGGGCGUAAAGGGCUCGUAGGCGGCCAACUAAGUCAUACGUGAAAUCCCUCAGCUUAACUGGGGAACUGCGUGUGAUACUGGAUGGCUUGGAUUUGGGAGAGGGAUGCGGAAUUCCAGGUGUAGCGGUGAAAUGCGUAGAUAUCUGGAGGAACACCGGUGGCGAAGGCGGCAUCCUGGGCCGGUAUUGACGCUGAGGAGCGAAAGCCAGGGGAGCAAACGGG